AAGAAGAACAAACCUAAGGUGCAGAUUAGGAAGGCGAAAUACUUUCCCAAUGCCCCAAUGGGAGAGUUGAUUUGUAGCUUAAAAAAACACCCUCCGCCUCCUCCGCGUCUCCCCGACCGCACCGGUGCCGGCGUGCGUGCCGCGAAAGCCGCUGCCUCCGGCUCCGCAACCGGCUCCGAGCUGCCUCAUGCAUCUACUAUUGUGGUAGAGGACGAGGAGAAGGAGGAGGACGACGAGGACGAGGACAUGGAUGAGGACAAGGACAAGGAAUAUGAGGAGCAUAAUCUGUUUGUGGUUCCUCCAUUGCAAGCGGGUGUUGAUAUGUCGGAUGAUGAUACAUCAGAUGGGUAUAAGGAAUCAGCUGAUGAACUAGAAGGUGACACUAUGUCCGAGGAAUCACUUGUGCAU
rnacentral:rRNA from 1 species